rnacentral:rRNA from 1 species
GACGAACGCUGGCGGCGUGCCUAACACAUGCAAGUCGAACGGAAAGGCCCUGCUUUUGUGGGGUGCUCGAGUGGCGAACGGGUGAGUAACACGUGAGUAACCUGCCCUUGACUUUGGGAUAACUUCAGGAAACUGGGGCUAAUACCGGAUAGGAGCUCCUGCUGCAUGGUGGGGGUUGGAAAGUUUCGGCGGUUGGGGAUGGACUCGCGGCUUAUCAGCUUGUUGGUGGGGUAGUGGCUUACCAAGGCUUUGACGGGUAGCCGGCCUGAGAGGGUGAUCGGCCACAUUGGGACUGAGAUACGGCCCAGACUCCUACGGGAGGCAGCAGUGGGGAAUAUUGCACAAUGGGCGGAAGCCUGAUGCAGCAACGCCGCGUGCGGGAUGACGGCCUUCGGGUUGUAAACCGCUUUCGCCUGUGACGAAGCGUGAGUGACGGUAAUGGGUAAAGAAGCACCGGCUAACUACGUG